rnacentral:rRNA from 1 species
GGCUCAGGAUGAACGCUAGCUACAGGCUUAACACAUGCAAGUCGAGGGGCAGCAUUGGGAUAGCUUGCUAUUCAGAUGGCGACCGGCGCACGGGUGAGUAACGCGUAUCCAACCUUCCUGCCAGUAGGGAACAGCCCGGCGAAAGUCGGAUUAAUGCCCUAUGUUCUUCAAUGCGGACAUCUAAGUUGAAGGAAAGAUUCAUCGCUGGCAGAUGGGGAUGCGUCCGAUUAGCUUGCCGGCGGGGUAACGGCCCACCGGGGCGACGAUCGGUAGGGGUUCUGAGAGGAAGGUCCCCCACACUGGUACUGAGACACGGACCAGACUCCUACGGGAGGCAGCAGUGAGGAAUAUUGGUCAAUGGGCGUAAGCCUGAACCAGCCAAGUAGCGUGCAGGAAUGACGGCCCUACGGGUUGUAAACUGCUCUUAUGCGGGGAUAAAGUGCGGCACGUGUGCCGCUUUGCAGGUACCGCAUGAAUAAGGACCGGCUAAUUCCGUGCCAGCCGCUGC